GAUGAACGCUAGCUACAGGCUUAACACAUGCAAGUCGAGGGGUAACGAGAGGAAAGCUUGCUUUCCUUGUCGACGACCGGCGCACGGGUGAGUAACGCGUAUCCAACCUGCCCCCAACUAGGGAAUAACCUUGCGAAAGUAAGACUAAUACCCUAUAAUUUCCUCAGAUGUCAUCUGACGAGGAAUAAAGAUUUAUCGGCUGUGGAUGGGGAUGCGUCUGAUUAGCUUGUUGGCGGGGUAACGGCCCACCAAGGCAACGAUCAGUAGGGGUUCUGAGAGGAAGGUCCCCCACAUUGGAACUGAGACACGGUCCAAACUCCUACGGGAGACAGCAGUGAGGAAUAUUGGUCAAUGGGCGGAAGCCUGAACCAGCCAAGUAGCGUGCAGGAUGACGGCCCUAUGGGUUGUAAACUGCUUUUAUACAGGAAUAAAGUUAGCCACGUGUGGUUAUUUGUAGGUACUGUAUGAAUAAGGACCGGCUAAUUCCGUGCCAGCCGCCGCAGUAA
rnacentral:rRNA from 1 species